UACAGCUUCACUCUGUGAGUGGACCAAGUA
rnacentral:piRNA from 1 species